AUACGUAGGUGGCGAGCGUUGUCCGGAAUUACUGGGCGUAAAGGGCGUGUAGGCGGCCUUUUAAGUCAGAUGUGAAAUCUCAGGGCUUAACCCUGAAACUGCAUUUGAAACUGGAGGGCUUGAGGAUCGGAGAGGGCAGUGGAAUUCCCAGUGUAGCGGUGAUAUGCGUAGAUAUUGGGAAGAACACCAGUGGCGAAGGCGACUGCCUGGACGACACCUGACGCUGAGGCGCGAAAGCUAGGGUAGCGAACGGGAUUAGAUACCCCGGUAGUCCUAGCCGUAAACUAUGGGUACUAGGUGUGGGAGGUAUCGACCCCUUCCGUGCCGCAGUUAACACAAUAAGUACCCCGCCUGGGGAGUACGGCCGCAAGGUUGAA
rnacentral:rRNA from 1 species